CCUAUGGGUGGCUGCAGUGGGGAAUAUUGGACAAUGGGCGCAAGCCUGAUCCAGCAAUGCCGCGUGUGUGAAGAAGGCCUGCGGGUUGUAAAGCACUUUUGUUCGGGAAGAAGGCACGCUGGUUAAUACCCGGCGUGGAUGACGGUACCGAAAGAAUAAGCACCGGCUAACUUCGUGCCAGCAGCCGCGGUAAUACGAAGGGUGCAAGCGUUAAUCGGAGUGAGUGGGCGUGGAGUUUUCGUACGCAGGUGAAAUCCCCGGGCUCAACCUGGGAAUGGCAUCCGAUACUGGGGAGCUGGAGUUUGGGAGAGGGUGGUGGAAUUCCCGGUGUAGCGGUGAAAUGCGUAGAGAUCGGGAGGAACAUCAGUGGCGAAGGCGGCCACCUGGCCUAAAACUGACGCUGAGGCACGAAAGCGUGGGGAGCAAACAGGAUUAGAUACCCUUGUAGUC
rnacentral:rRNA from 1 species